GACGAACGCUGGCGGCGUGCUUAACACAUGCAAGUCGAACGGUAAGGCCCUUCGGGGUACACGAGUGGCGAACGGGUGAGUAACACGGGGGGGAUCUGCCCUGCACUUCGGGCUAAGCCCGGGCAACUGGGUCUAAUACCGGACAGGACCCCUUGCUUCAUGGUUGGGGGGGGAAAGAGUUUGGGGUGUGGGAUUGGCCCGCGGCCUAUCAGCUUGUUGGUGGGGUAAUGGCCUACCAAGGCGACGACGGGUAGCCGGCCUGAGAGGGUGACCGGUAACACUGGGACUGAGAUACGGCCCAGACUACUACGGGAGGCAGCAGUGGGGAAUAUUGCACAAUGGGCGCAAGCCUGAUGCAGCGACGCCGCGUGAGGGAUGACGGCCUUCGGGUUGUAAACCUCUUUCAGCACCGACGAAGCGCAAGUGACGGUAGGUGCAGAAGAAGGACCGGCCAACUACGUGCCAGCAGCCGCCGCCG
rnacentral:rRNA from 1 species